GGAAAUGUGGCUUAGUGGUAGAGUGCUUGCCUAGCAUGCAUGAAGCCCUGGGUUCGAUUCCUCAAUACCA
rnacentral:tRNA from 1 species